rnacentral:hammerhead_ribozyme from 1 species
GCACUGCUGAGGAGUCCCAUAAUAGAACGAAAAGGCCAUCCAGUGC